UGCCUUGACUCGGGGUGCCCACAUGAAAAUGAAAGGGCUGAGAACUUACCCGUAUUACCUGAUCUGGAUUAUGCCAGCGUAGGGAAGUCUCGGUGCAUGAGC
rfam:Hafnia alvei FB1, complete genome.